GAUGAACGCUGGCGGCGUGCCUAAUACAUGCAAGUCGAGCGAAUGGAUUAAGAGCUUGCUCUUAUGAAGUUAGCGGCGGACGGGUGAGUAACACGUGGGUAACCUGCCCAUAAGACUGGGAUAACUCCGGGAAACCGGGGCUAAUACCGGAUAACAUUUUGAACCGCAUGGUUCGAAAUUGAAAGGCGGCUUCGGCUGUCACUUAUGGAUGGACCCGCGUCGCAUUAGCUAGUUGGUGAGGUAACGGCUCACCAAGGCAGCGAUGCGUAGCCGACGUGGGAGGGUGAGCGGCCACACUGGGACUGAGACACGGCCCAGACUCCUACGGGAGGCAGCAGUAGGGAAUCUUCCGCAAUGGACGAAAGUCUGACGGAGCAACGCCGCGUGAGUGAUGAAGGCUUUCGGGUCGUAAAACUCUGUUGUUAGGGAAGAACAAGUGCUAGUUGAAUAAGCUGGCUCCUUGACGGUACCUAACCAGAAAGCCACGGCUAACUACGUGCCAGCAGCCGCGGUAA
rnacentral:rRNA from 1 species